rnacentral:rRNA from 1 species
GACGAACGCUGGCGGCGUGCCUAAUACAUGCAAGUAGAACGCACAGUUUAUACCGUAGCUUGCUACACCAUAGACUGUGAGUUGCGAACGGGUGAGUAACGCGUAGGUAACCUGCCUGGUAGCGGGGGAUAACUAUUGGAAACGAUAGCUAAUACCGCAUAAUAUUAAUUAUUGCAUGAUAAUUAAUUGAAAUGUGCAAUUGCACCACUACCAGAUGGACCUGCGUUGUAUUAGCUAGUAGGUGAGGUAACGGCUCACCUAGGCGACGAUACAUAGCCGACCUGAGAGGGUGAUCGGCCACACUGGGACUGAGACACGGCCCAGACUCCUACGGGAGGCAGCAGUAGGGAAUCUUCGGCAAUAGACGAAAGUCUGACCGAGCAACGCCGCGGGAGUGAAGAAGGUUUUCGGAUCGUAAAGCUCUGUUGUAAGAGAAGAACGGGGGUGAGAGUGGAAAGUUCACACUGUGACGGUAUCUUACCAGAAAGGGACGGCUAACUACGUG